rnacentral:ribozyme from 14 species
GAAGAAGAAAAGAAAGAAGAAGAAGGCAAAGGCACAGAUAUGUCUAUUUCUCCUUCGACAACUUCUUCUUCUACUUUAUUCA